rnacentral:pre_miRNA from 1 species
AUGGUGAAAUUAUGAGAAUGACUUUUCUGGUGAAGUCAACACUAUAGUAUUAAAAGUGUAGUGAGUAGCACCCCACUGUUUAUAAAGUUCAGUCUUCAUAGUAUCAUCAA